rnacentral:rRNA from 1 species
GAUGAACGCUGGCGGCGUGCCUAAUACAUGCAAGUCGAGCGAACAGAUGAGGAGCUUGCUCCUCUGACGUUAGCGGCGGACGGGUGAGUAACACGUGGAUAACCUACCUAUAAGACUGGGAUAACUUCGGGAAACCGGAGCUAAUACCGGAUAAUAUAUUGAACCGCAUGGUUCAAUAGUGAAAGACGGUUUUGCUGUCACUUAUAGAUGGAUCCGCGCCGCAUUAGCUAGUUGGUAAGGUAACGGCUUACCAAGGCAACGAUGCGUAGCCGACCUUAGAGGGUGAUCGGCCACACUGGAACUGAGACACGGUCCAGACUCCUACGGGAGGCAGCAGUAGGGAAUCUUCCGCAAUGGGCGAAAGCCUGACGGAGCAACGCCGCGUGAGUGAUGAAGGUCUUCGGAUCGUAAAACUCUGUUAUUAGGGAAGAACAAAUGUGUAAGUAACUAUGCACGUCUUGACGGUACCUAAUCAGAAAGCCGCGGCUAACUACGUG